rnacentral:rRNA from 1 species
GAUGAACGCUGGCGGCGUGCCUAAUACAUGCAAGUCGAGCGAACGGACGAGAAGCUUGCUUCUCUGAUGUUAGCGGCGGACGGGUGAGUAACACGUGGAUAACCUACCUAUAAGACUGGGAUAACUUCGGGAAACCGUAGCUAAUACCGGAUAAUAUUUUGAACCGCAUGGUUCAAAAGUGAAAGACGGUCUUGCUGUCACUUAUAGAUGGAUCCGCGCUGCAUUAGCUAGUUGGUAAGGUAACGGCUUACCAAGGCAACGAUGCAUAGCCGACCUGAGAGGGUGAGCGGCCAAACUGGAAAUGAGACAAGGGCCAGAAUCCUACGGGAGGCAGCAGUAGGGAAUCUUCCGAAAUGGGCGAAAGCCUGACGGAGCAACGACGCGUGAGGGAUGAAGGGCUUCGGAUCGGAAAACUCUGUUAUUAGGGAAGAACAUAUGUGUAAGUAACUGUGCACAGCUUGACGGUACCUAAUCAGAAAGCCACGGCUAACUACGUG